rnacentral:piRNA from 1 species
UGGACAGAGACAGAGAAAAUGCGAGCCUG